rnacentral:lncRNA from 1 species
GAAGAAAGAGACCUACAAAAAAUAAAUAAGAUCCCAUCAAAAACAUUAAAUGUAAAAAAGCCAAUCCUCUACGCAGUUCCUCCACCGUAAAAAGUUUUGAGAUCGCAUAGAAGCCAAGUCCUGUUCAACUUUAAUUGUAAUAAUAAAUCAACAUUUUGUGACUAUAUCAAUUAAAUAGUUUUGUUCAUAUUACAAUAAUAUUGUCUUGGCCAUGAGCACAAGUUAAAAGUCGCUCCUUGUAAUAAUGUGUAAAUGCCAUUGAAUUGAUAAAUUCUAUAUGGACAUGAUCUUACGAUUGGACUGAUUAUGCACUGAAGAACUUAGACAAGGACUUAAAAGACUUAUGCCCGUUUUCACCAACAACCUCUUACCGUUUCCCUAUCUAAAUGCUACUUUUAGUAAGGAUCCCUCCCAAUUUGACACCUACCUAAAUUCAUUUUCACCACACUUGUACAUGGAUCCCUUAAGUAAGUGACAGAUUACUAGUUCUACAAACGAUAAUGCAAAGUCGAUAUUUUAUCGAUAAAAUGAUUUUUCUGUACUUCUUAAGAAAUAAACGUCUAUCGAGUAUAUAUUACUAAAGCCUGUGAGUUUUUUUUCUUGUGAUGUUAUUUUAAUUUAACUUAAACUACAUUACGCUAUGUUUUAUGCAAUAAAACAGUAAAGAGGUUUUCUAUAGAUGAAUUUUUACCUAUGUCAUUCGCGCGUUUGUCAAAUUGACUGAUGUGUAUGUGUACAUAGAGUGAGGGUAAUUUUGGGUUUAUUAUUGUUGAAUAGAUAAGUUUAUUUUGGCAGAGAAGAGAAAACGAGGAUAAACCUUUCUUGCAGAAGAAAAAGACAAGCUAGUGAAAUUGCUAACGUCUCAUAGAGACACAAUAUUAAACAAAAAACGGAUGGGACCACGAACGAAGCCAAAAACAAAGCUUGGAUCCAGUCACAAAUAGUUUUAAUGCGACAGGAACCCUUUACAGUUUCAGGUGGUGCGAGAAAUUGGAAAGACGUGUAAAAACAUGCUGCGCCCAGCCCACCUCAAAUUGAAUUGGUGCAGGAGGAUGAUGAUAAUGUUUGGUACAUCAUAUGAGGACUAAUAUUAAAAUAUUUGUUU